ACAAACUUGGUCAUUUAGAGGAAGUAAAAGUCGUAACAAGGUCUCCGUUGGUGAACCAGCGGAGGGAUCAUUACAGAGUUGCAAAACUCCCUAACCCUUGUGAACAUACCUGUACGUCGUUGCUUCGGCGGGUAGCCCCUUUACGGGGCCUCGACCUCCCAGCGAGGUUGCCCGCCGGAGGACCACACAAAACUCUUGAAUUAAUGGCUUCUCUGAGUAUUAAUCAAAUAAGUUAAAACUUUCAACAACGGAUCUCUUGGUUCUGGCAUCGAUGAAGAACGCAGC
rnacentral:misc_RNA from 1 species